UACGAAGGGGGCUAGCGUUGCUCGGAAUCACUGGGCGUAAAGGGCGCGUAGGCGGAUCUUUAAGUCGGGGGUGAAAGCCUGAGGCUCAACCUCAGAAUUGCCUUCGAUACUGGAGAUCUUGAGACCGGAAGAGGUAAGUGGAACUGCGAGUGUAGAGGUGAAAUUCGUAGAUAUUCGCAAGAACACCAGUGGCGAAGGCG
rnacentral:rRNA from 1 species